AUGGGCCGUUGAGCUUGUUCACUGCCAUGAUCACCGCCACGACGUCUUUGCCAUUCAUGAUGGGUGUGGCCAGCAUAUUCUUUGUCUUGUAGUCGGUGAGCUCGUCCGCAAAUGAGCUGAAGUGAGGGCACUGCCGCAAGAGAGGAAAGAGGCUAAAGAGGCUGUCGCUCCGUAGGCCUGGAGCCCGCACCACUGGGGUUGUCGUCAAGCUCUGUGGGGGCUGCUGCCCUCCAGGUGUGAGGUGCCCGGGGGCCCUGCUGGGCACUGGGAUGUGGCCACCGGGCGGUGAAAGCUGGGCCUGUCCCUGUGGCUCCAGCCUGGCUCCAUGCACCCCUGUGCGGAGGACGCUGGUGCCCCCCAGUGCUCAGUCCAGCAGACUUGGACAGGCCUCAUGGGGGGCCCCGCCCUGCCUGGCACCUCCCGCACCUGCCGCCCUCCGGCCACGUUGGGCCUCCUGGAUGCCUGUUGAGCCUGCCUGCUCGCCUUGUCCCUGAAGCCUCCUGCCUUCAGGCCCCUCCUGCCUCUCCUGCCUUCAGGCCCCUGCAGGACACUCCUACACUCUUCCCUGAGAGACAGCCAUUGGGACGGUGGCCCUGCAGCGGCAGAGGGCAGACGCCUCGCAACUCCCCUCCACCCCCUUCCCCUGCAGCAAGGUUGAGAGGUCAGAGGAAGCCUGCUGGGGGCUGGCCGAGGUGCUAGCGUGCUCCUAAAUGGCACCCACCCUUCCUGCUCCUCAUUUCCUGAUUCUUGGAGAUACAGCUGCUGCCCAUAGCCAUGUGGGCUGGCAUUGAAGGAAAACCAGCAUUUAAAAGAUGGUGGAGCAGGAAGACGGCUGCUCCUGGGUCCCCUGCCUUCCUGGCUGCAUCACUGGUCUCAGCAGGCACCUGGCUCCAUUUCAGCUGUCCCAGCUGAGGUGGGCUGCCGUUACCAUCCUUAUGCCGACAGCCUCUCUCCUUCACCACUGGCCCCAUUCACUCCCUGGUCCUUCCAGGCCUGUGCCAGAUACACCCUUGGUCCCAGCACUGAGACCUUCACGCUGAGGCUUUGUGACUGCAGCCUCUUUGUGUCUCACCAGCCCCCACACCCUUAGGAGCGAGAGGAACAGCUCCUUAGAGGUCCAGAGCAGGCAGCCAGAAUUGGGGCUUGGCCACCGCGGAGGUUCUGCCAGAAGCUAUGCUCCUCUGAGCAGCUGGUUUUGAGUGGGGUUGCCCCUCGUUCCUCCUUCCCUGUACCUUGUCAGGCUUCUGCGAGCAGCUGGCCCAGCCCAGGGGCUCCCCAGGAACAUCUGCUCCAAACCCUGGCUUGCACUCUGCCCUCUGCCCUCCUCAGCUUCCCUGACACCACAGGGAAUGUUUACUUUUUUGUAAAUCUGCCAUCGAGACUGCGAAGAGUCCCACGUGGAAACAUCCGGCCACUCUCUCACUGACACCUGCUCUCCUUUCCCCAGCGUCUGGUCACUCUGCUGCCCAUGCAUGGAUGGGCACUCGGUACCAGCGAGGCCACAGCCACCUUGGUCCCAGCUUGGCUGGUGCAGCUUCUAGCCUCAGCGGCUCCCUCCUGCUGCCCCUUGUGGCCCAGCAGCCCGACCCCAGCCCAGCCUUCACUUCCUGAGAUGACAGCCCUGCAAACUCCCCUCGGCCACAGGGAUGGAUCCCUCGGCCUCCCUGUCCGACUGCCAGCUGCCCCACCCAUUGUGAAAUGCAGCCACACCAUCGUGCGUCUGUCGGUGAAGAUUAACACGUGGCCCCUGCUGGCCCCCCGUCUCUCCUC